GCCGAACGCUGGCGGCGUGCUUAACACAUGCAAGUCGCACGAGUGGCGGACGGGUGAGUAAUGUCUGGGAAACUGCCCGAUGGAGGGGGAUAACUACUGGAAACGGUAGCUAAUACCGCAUACCAUCGGAUGUGCCCAGAUGGGAUUAGCUAGUAGGUGGGGUAACGGCUCACCUGGGCGACGAUCCCUAGCUGGUCUGAGAGGAUGACCAGCAACACUGGACCUGAGACACGGUCCAGACUCCUACGGGAGGCAGCAGUGGGGAAUAUUGCACAAUGGGCGCAAGCCUGAUGCAGCCAUGCCGCGUGUGUGAAGAAGGCCUUCGGGUUGUAAAGCACUUUCAGCGGGGAGGCGUUACCCGCAGAAGAAGCACCGGCUAACUCCGUGCCAGCCGCCGCGGUAAUAC
rnacentral:rRNA from 1 species